rnacentral:tRNA from 1 species
GACCUACUUGACUCAGCAGUUAGAGUAUUGCUUUCAUACGGCGAGAGUCAUUGGUUCAAAUCCGAGAAAGGUUU